GAUGAACGCUGGCGGCGUGCCUAAUACAUGCAAGUCGAGCGAACGGACGAGAAGCUUGCUUCUCUGAUGUUAGCGGCGGACGGGUGAGUAACACGUGGAUAACCUACCUAUAAGACUGGGAUAACUUCGGGAGACCGUAGCUAAUACCGGAUAAUAUUUUGAACCGCAUGGUUCAAAAGUGAAGGACGGUCUUGCUGUCACUUAUAGAUGGAUCCGCGCUGCAUUAGCUAGUUGGUAAGGUAACGGCUUACCAAGGCAACGACGCAUAGCCGACCUGAGAGGGUGAUCGGCCACACUGGAACUGAGACACGGUCCAGACUCCUACGGGAGGCAGCAGUAGGGAAUCUUCCGCAAUGGGCGAAAGCCUGACGGAGCAACGCCGCGUGAGUGAUGAAGGUCUUCGGAUCGUAAAACUCUGUUAUUAGGGAAGAACAUAUGUGUAAGUAACUGUGCACAUCUUGACGGUACCUAAUCAGAAAGCCACGGCUAACUACGUG
rnacentral:rRNA from 1 species